AGCAGCCGCGGUAAUUCCAGCUCCAAUAGCGUAUAUUAAAGUUGUUGCAGUUAAAAAGCUCGUAGUUGAAUUUCGGGGUUAGUAGGUUGGUCAUGCCUCUGGUAUGUACUGGUCUCACUGAUUCCUCCUUCCUGAUGAGCCGUAAUGCCAUUAAUUUGGUGUUGCGAGGAAUUUGGACUGUUACUUUGAAAAAUUAGAGUGUUUAAAGCAAGCUAACGCUUGAAUACAUUAGCAUGGAAUAAUGAAAUAGGACGUUCGAUCCUAUUUUGUUGGUUUCUAGGAUUGACGUAAUGAUUAAUAGGGAUAGUUGGGGGCAUUAGUAUUCAAUCGUCAGAGGUGAAAUUCUUGGAUUUAUUGAAGACUAACUACUGCGAAAGCAUUUGCCAAGGAUGUUUUCAUUAAUCGAAGAACGAAAGUUAGGGGAUCGAAGACGAUCAGAUACCGUCGUAGUCUUAACCAUAAACCUAUGCCGACUAGGGAUCGGAUGAUGUUAUUUUUAAUUGA
rnacentral:rRNA from 1 species